UACGGAGGGUGCAAGCGUUGUCCGGAUUUAUUGGGUUUAAAGGGUGCGUAGGCGGCUUUGCAAGUGACGGGUGAAAUCCCUCGGCUUAACCGAGGAACUGCCUGUCAAACUGCAUGGCUUGAGACCGGGAGAGGUGAGUGGAAUUCCCAGUGUAGCGGUGAAAUGCGUAGAGAUCGGGAGGAACACCAGUGGCGAAGGCGGCCUUCUGGGCAUUUCCUGACGCUG
rnacentral:rRNA from 1 species